ACUUUGCCGGGGUGGGAAGAGGGAAGGCACCCACUCUCCGUCCGGUAUUCAUUCAACAGGCACAUACUGAACAGGACGCCACUGGCUCCAGACAAGCUCAAGGAAAUGAGUUGGCAGGACGGGUUUCCAGAUGAGGAGAGGACUCAGCUGGGGCACAGGGAGAAGCCCCAGGGAGGCCGUGAGAUCCGUCCUGGGGAAUGGGCACCUCCCAGCAAGAAGACAUGGCCACCAGGAGGCUUGCAGUCUUUCAUCUUGGGAGACACACGGUUCGGGAAGUACAAGGAGCCCACUGCGCAGAACCCGAGUUGGCAGGAUGUCAAGCCUGAAGUACUAGGCGUCUGGGAGCUUCUGCAGAGUCCCAAACCCAGGAAUGUGGGGAAGUCUGGGAAAGUGGCAUAGCCGUUCCAGUGGGGACGACGGGGGUUCCAGGGCCCCCCAUUUCUUAUUCUUGCGGAGUGGUGGAGGCCCAGUCCUCCCUUGGGGGUCACGGAGCACUGUGGACCUAUUCUCCUCCUCUCCCUUUUCUGGAAUUCAGUUACUCUUCAAGGGACAAUGCCUAGAGCUCUUGGGGAAGAGCGUGUGGAUCCCACAAAGGGCGCUCAGAGGGGCCUGCCCAGAAGGAGAGGAAUUUGCGAUUGCAAAGCCCAGGGUCAGACGUGGACCAGCAGGGUCCCAGGGUUCUCAGGCAAUGCCAGUCCCAUGUCGUCGUCAGACUCAGGCACAGACCACUUGCUUAAGAAAAAUAAAUAAAUAAAAUAAAAGAUACAUGCUGUUCUAUAUGGUGGCCACUUGGAAUGUGGUUGGUUCCAACUGGGAUGGGCUGUGAAUGUAAGCAACAUUCCAAAGGCUCAGUGUGAGAGAAGAAUGCAGACUGUCUUAUCAACAUGUUUACAUUGAUUACACAUCAAGACGGUGGUAUUUGGGAUGCAAGGAGAUUAAAUAAAAUACAGUGUUGAAAUUAA